GACGUAGGGUGCGAGCGUUGUCCGGAUUUAUUGGGCGUAAAGAGCUCGUAGGCGGCUCGUCGCGUCGACCGUGAAACCCGCGGCUUAACUGCGGGCUUGCGGUUGAUACGGGCGGGCUAGAGUUCGGUAGGGGAGACUGGAAUUCCUGGUGUAGCGGUGAAAUGCGCAGAUAUCAGGAAGAACACCCGUGGCGAAGGCGGCUCUCUGGGACGGUACUGACGCUGAGACGCGAAAGCGUGGGGAGCGAACAGG
rnacentral:rRNA from 1 species